GCCGGUCCGCACGGGAGCCCUGAGGGAACAGGGCUGAGAGGGGGUCUGCCGACCCCGACCGUCGAACCUGAUCCGGGUCAUGCCGGCGCAGGGAGCGUGGUGUCAACAGUG
rnacentral:ncRNA from 2 species